rnacentral:rRNA from 1 species
AUUGAACGCUGGCGGCAUGCUUUACACAUGCAAGUCGAACGGCAGCGCGGGCUUCGGCCUGGCGGCGAGUGGCGAACGGGUGAGUAAUACAUCGGAACGUGCCCAGUAGUGGGGGAUAGCUCGGCGAAAGCCGGAUUAAUACCGCAUACGACCUGAGGGUGAAAGCGGGGGAUCUUCGGACCUCGCGCUAUUGGAGCGGCCGAUGGCAGAUUAGCUAGUUGGUGGGGUAAAGGCCUACCAAGGUGACGAUCUGUAGCUGGUCUGAGAGGACGACCAGCCACACUGGGACUGAGACACGGCCCAGACUCCUACGGGAGGCAGCAGUGGGGAAUUUUGGACAAUGGGCGAAAGCCUGAUCCAGCAAUGCCGCGUGUGUGAUGAAGGCCUUCGGGUUGUAAAGCACUUUUGGCGGGAACGAAAAGGACUGUGCCAAUACCACGGUUCGAUGACGGUACCCGCAGAAUAAGCACCGGCUAACUACGUG